rnacentral:rRNA from 1 species
AGAUAAUAGAUACCCCGGUAGUCCCAGCUGUAAACGAUGCAGACUCGGUGAUGGACUAGCUUAAAUGCUAGUCCAGUGCCGCAGGGAAGCCGUUAAGUCUGCCGCCUGGGUAGUACGGUCGCAAGACUGAAACUUAAAGGAAUUGGCGGGGAGCACCACAAGGGGUGAAAGCCUGCGGUUCAAUUGGAGUCAACGCCGGGAAUCUUACCGGGGGCGGACAGCAGAGUGAAGGUCAAGCUGAAGACUUUACUAGACAAGCUGAGAGGAGGUGCAUGGCCGUCGCCAGCUCGUGCCGUGAGGUGUCCUGUUAAGUCAGGUAACGAGCGAGACCCCUGCUUCUAGUUGCUACUUUUAUUCUUCGGAGUAGAGGGGCUAAUUAGAAGGACUGCCGCCGCUAAGGCGGAGGAAGGAGGGGGCGUACGGCAGGUCAGUAUGCCCCGAAACCCGUCGGGCCGACACGCGGGCGUGCAAUGGUAAGUACAAUAGGUUCCGAUUCCG